rnacentral:tRNA from 1 species
GCCGCCGUAGCUCAGCCGGCAGAGCGACCGCCUCGUAAGCGGUAGGUCGUGGGUUCAAUCCCCACCGGCGGCU